GGAUCCUCUUGCAGCAGUUCCACAGUCCUGCAUGGUCACUGUAUUCCCCAAUCAGGCACAAAAUGAACCCCCUUCAAAUAUUCCAACUGUUAACAUUCUUACGAAUUAUUUAAAGGGCCUCCCCAUCAAAUGCUAAGGAACUUCACCCACCAGAAUCUCGGUGCCAGCAGUAAUGACAGAUCAGCCCAAUGUGAACUGCCCAUGUUGAAUGACUUCAGUUGAGCUUUUAGAAAUUUCAGGUGGAGAUAAAUGAGCAUCUGCAAAUUCUCUGGUCAUAGGAGUAAAUGGCCAUUGAAUUUUAAUUCAAAAUAUUAAAAUACCUAUCAAAUAAGCACUCCAAUUUAAAGUGUUUAAAAAAAGAAAAACAUGUUUUCUAUU
rnacentral:lncRNA from 1 species